AGUGUAUUUGGAAGUCAGAGGACGUCUUAUGGGAGUCAUUCUUCUCUUUCCACCAGAAAGAGAAAUAUCUUGAGACGAUCUGGGGAAAAACCUGCCAUCAAGUCUCCAUCAUUAGUGAAGAACAAUAAGAACAACGGUGUGCCACAGGCAGGAAGCUUUGGCAAGCAACACAGGUGAUCUGUAGGUUCAUUGCAUCUAGAGGCAGCUACCCCGAUUGCAGCAUCCCUGCCGCAGGAUCACAGGCCACUGCGUGUCUUCUGAGCAAUUAUCUGGUCGUCUUUACGGUGCUCACAUUCUUCAGAGGAGAAGGGAAGGUGGUUAUCACGGGCAAGACAGGGCAGGGAGCUCAGACUGGAGAUGGGGCGUCACUUGGCUUCUCAUAAGGUUUCGCUCGGAUUCUGUCUUCUGCAAAACCAAUAGCCAAUGCAAAACGUUAUUACCUACCUCUGA